GCUAUGUAGUCUAGGCUGGCUUAGAAUUGGUAAGCCUCCUGCCUCAGUUUCUCAAGUGCUAGGAUCACAGGCAUAUGCCACUCAGCCCGCUGUGGGCCUUUGAAUUCUAACAGUAACGGAGUCUACGAGCUCCCUGUGUCUCUGACAUUAAAAGUCACUGGUUCUUUCUUAGUUUUUGGUUGUGACCCUAGCUUUAAUGGCUGAUCUACCUCUUGCACAUAAAAGUCGCCGAUUCUCAAGUGCAAUUGGUGAAGUGACAUUUCUCAAGUGUGGACGUUGUAAGAUCCCCUCUCUGGUCUCACCUUUCUGGGACCACCCCUCUUUCCUCUCUGCCCUAGGGUAAAGAAAAAAGAGCAGGCAGUCUGACCUCACACUUCACGCGCCACAUCCUGUUUUCAGAUGAAGUGGGCAUCACCGGAGGAUCACUAAGUGCCCAGGGAUCAGCCAGGCAGUGGAAAUCAAAAGCCGAGCAUGGAUGAAGCUUUGGAUUCAGAAAGAAAAUAAACCAUUUGGAGACCAUU